UUGAUCUCAAAUCAGGUAGGACUACCCGCUGAACUUAAGCAUAUCAAUAAGCGGAGGAAAAGAAACUAACAAGGAUUCCCCUAGUAACUGCGAGUGAAGCGGGAAGAGCUCAAAUUUAAAAUCUGGCGUGCCUCUGGUCGUCCGAGUUGUAGUCUGGAGAAGCGUUUUCCGUGUUGGACCGUGUACAAGUCUCUUGGAACAGGGCGUCAUAGAGGGUGAGAAUCCCGUCUUGACACGGACUACCAAUGCUUUGUGAUGCUGCCA
rnacentral:rRNA from 1 species